CCUCAGCCAGAGCAGCAGCUGACAUCCUGCUUUGUAAAGAGAGUGACUGAUUCAGGAAGCCAGUGGAAUGUCUUCCUUUGCAGGAUUUGGUGUGUCUACUGAAACUACUUGGUCUCCACACUGCCCGUCCAGAAGAAAAGCAGCUGCAUGAGCAUCAGCAAGAAAUAACCCAGAACAAAACCUGACUUCCUCAUCCAUUUGCUUGUGUAAUUAUAUGGUCAACAAGGGAAAAUCUUCUUUAUCCCAAAAAGAAUCUCUUAUCACCUCCUGUGUGAUCACUAUUCUAGAUGUUCAAGACUUUAAGGUUGUGCUUCUUACUCUUCCCAGGAGUUUUUAACUGACUCUCAAGCAAAGCACCAGCAGGAAGUGUCUGAAGGAAGUCUGACCUGCUGGGGUUGUUUCUCAAUAUCCUGCUUGUCUAUCUCAUGAGGUGGAAAGGAGCAUUCCGCUUGCUCCAGCUGCCGUGUCCCCAGAGCGUCCAGAACACACCCGACUGCAAAGGGGAGAAUGAGGCCGUGCACUGCCUGCACUUGAGCACAGCAUCUCCUUGGAACUUGCAUGACAAGAUUGUUGAAACAAUCUCCUGGCACAGCCUGGUACAGGGCUACCAGUUCACAGCUUGAGAAGAGGCACAUGCCAGACACAUGCUGGGAAAUUCUACCAGGAGGCUGCAGACACGCUACAGGUUUUGUGCAUCUUCUCUGAGAACCCGAAGUCCAUCACUGACUACUCUCUACUGCAUGGCAGAUCUAGGGGCAGCAUCUUCUCAUCCGCAGCUGUAGUGUUAGAAGUAUUUGUGCUGCUGUCACCUGAGUCUACAGUCAUCUGUUGAUGGAAUGGACCAACGCUGAGAAACAGCUUCUAGGAGAGCCAUCAGAGAGAUGGGUGAGCAAGUGUGACUGCUAGACUUAGAAUUACAUAUGUGGCUGGGCCUUCCCGGUGAUGCAGCGGGUUGAGCGCCCUGCUAUGAAGCUGUCUGCAGCCUCCGCUGUGCAGGUUCGAUUCCCGACUUGCCAGGGAGAAACCCACAUGCAAAGCAGACCUCUCCUGUCUCGCCCACUGCUCCCUUCAGCAGAGUUUUCAGUCUGUCUGCCUGUUCUGCUCCCCGCACUGUCUCUGGUGAAAUUUCUCACUCUCCCGCAUCUCUGACCUGUACCCCAGUUC